rnacentral:rRNA from 1 species
GAUGAACGCUGGCGGCGUGCUUAACACAUGCAAGUCGAACGGAAAGGCUCCUGCUUGCCGGGGUACUCGAGUGGCGAACGGGUGAGUAACACGUGGGGGAUCUGCCCUGCACUUCGGGAUAAGCCUUGGAAACUGGGGCUAAUACCGGAUAGGACGAUGGUUUGGAUGCCAUUGUGGAGAGUUUUUCGGUGUGGGAUGAGCUCGCGGCCUAUCAGCUUGUUGGUGGGGUAAUGGCCUACGAAGGCGUCGACGGGUAGCCGGCCUGGGAGGGGGUACGGCCACAUUGGGACUGAGAUACGGCCCAGACUGCUACGGGAGGCAGCAGUGGGGAAUAUUGCACAAUGGGCGCAAGCCUGAUGCAGCGACGCCGCGUGGGGGAUGACGGCCUUCGGGUUGUAAACUACUUUCGCUAGGGACGAAGCGCAAGUGACGGUACCUGGAGAAGAAGCACCGGCUAACUACGUG